UACAGAGGGUGCAAGCGUUGUUCGGAAUUAUUGGGCGUAAAGCGCGUGUAGGCGGCUUUGCAAGUCGGGUGUGAAAGCCCUCAGCUUAACUGAGGAAGUGCGCCCGAAACUGCAGAGCUUGAAUACCGGAGAGGAUGGCGGAAUUCCCCAAGUAGAGGUGAAAUUCGUAGAUAUGGGGAGGAACACCGGUGGCGAAGGCGGCCAUCUGGACGGCUAUUGACGCUGAGACGCGAAAACGUGGGGAGCAAACAGG
rnacentral:rRNA from 1 species